GCCUGGGUGGCUCAGUCGGUUGAGUGUCUGACUUCGGCUCAGGCCGUGAUCUUGCAGUUCAUGAGUUCGAGCCCCAUGUCAGGCU
rfam:Felis catus isolate Cinnamon breed Abyssinian chromosome B3, whole genome shotgun sequence.